CCAAAUAGUUGGGAAAAGGCU
rnacentral:miRNA from 1 species